GUUUGAUCAUGGCUCAGAAAGAACGCUGGCGGCAUGCUUAACACAUGCAAGUCGAACGAGUAGUAGCAAUACUACUAGUGGCAGACGGGUGAGUAAUACGUAGGAAUCUCCCCUAUAGUACGGAACAACAAUUGGAAACGGUUGCUAAUACCGUAUUCGCUCUUCGGAGGAAAGAUUUAUCGCUAUAGGAUGAGCCUGCGCUAGAUUAGGUAGUUGGUAGGGUAAUGGCCUACCAAGCCAAUGAUCUAUAGUUGGUCUGAGAGGACGAUCAGCCACACUGGAACUGAGAAACGGUCCAGACUCCUACGGGAGGCAGCAGUGGGGAAUAUUGGACAAUGGGCGCAAGCCUGAUCCAGCAAUGCCGCGUGAAUGAUGAAGGCCUUAGGGUUGUAAAGUUCUUUCGUUGGGGAAGAAAUUGACGGUACCCAAAGAAGAAGCUCCGGCUAACUCCGUGCCAGCAGCCGCGGUAA
rnacentral:rRNA from 1 species